CAGCACUCGCUGCUUGAAAAUCCGGCCUCAGGAUGGACACUCCUUGGCAGCCGUCUGUGAGCCCUGGAGACCACGGUGAGGCGAGAAGGCUUCAAGCACCAAGCACAAAGGGCUCGCAGCUUCCCGAGAUACCUGGUCAGUGACGGGGCUGGAAGGGAAGGUGGGACUGGGGGGAUGUGUGAGAGGUCACCUUGUGCUGGUCUCCCGGAGGUCCGCCCGCAUCCACGUCUUCCAAGUCAGGCAGGUCCUGGAAGAGAAGACGACCCCCGUCAGCAGGAGGGCACGCUCCCAACGCCCGGUCCACGGGCCAGACGCGGCCGCACAGCCAACCAAGCCUGCGCUACGUGCUCCGAGUGUGGAGGGGCCCGCGGAGUGACCCAGGCCACUCAGGCCACGUGCACGCUCGAAACACACGCAGAGGCAACACCAGACUCAACAUCGGGAUGGGGAGCUAUUCAAGCCUCCGAGCCCUGA
rnacentral:lncRNA from 1 species